ACUUCAGAGGUCGGGAUGGCAUGAAUAUGGACAGGUCUCCAAUGGAUAUGAGGCGGUUCGACUGCCCACCUGAUAUGAGAGGACGAGACGUGGGUCUUCAUGACAGAGGAAGAGAGCCUUCCCGAGAUUUUUUCAGACCUGGAGAUGAAAUGGACAUUAAUUUUCGAAGGCGCUUUGAAAUGGAUCAGAGAAACAACCUUCAGAAUACUCCAGGUUUUAUGGGUCAGUCUAGGCCAUCGAUGGAUAUGGGUGGCAGAGACAUGCAGGGUGGUAAUAUGAGGGGUCCAGAAGGUGGAUUCGUAAAUAUGAGGGAGAGGGAGAGAUUCCAGAUGGACAUGCCUGGACUUCCUCCCAUGGACAUCAGAAGGAGGCUUGCCAUGGUGGCAAUGGGUGGAAAUGGAGAUCUUGGGGACAUGAGAGACAGGGAGAGGCCACGGAUGGGAGGCAUUGAUGGGUUCAACAUGGACAUGCCUCCCAGAGACAGACCGAUGAUGGAUUUUGACAGACGAGGUGUCGCCACUCCACCUAAUUCAAGAGGAAGGUUUGAAUCUGAUAUGGAUCUGAGAAACCGCAUGGUGUCCUCCGAUGAUUUUAGAGACCAGCCGCCUCAGAUGUUUCGAGAAAAUGAAGGCAUCCCCAUGGAUAUCAGAGGAAGACCUGAUAUGCCUUUAGGUCGUGGUGGCCCAGAACCCAUGAUCAGACCCGACGAGAUGACCCUCAGAGACAGAGAAUUCCCAGAGCCGAUGGACAGUCCAGUGGGUUUCAGAGGGAGAGAAGGUGAAACGCUUUCAGACGAGUGGCGCAAACAUGGCAUGAGAGACCGAGAAUCUCUUCCACCGAUGAUGGGCAGAGCGCCACCACUCUUCCAGAGAGAGAUGCAAGAAAAGUUCUUCUCUAACCGUGGAAAAGAUGUAGACUUUGGAGAACGUCCCCAGUUCAAAGACAGAGACCGAGAUGGGUUUCUGGGAAAAGAUGGCACAGGCUUUAAUCGAUCAGAAAGAGACUCCAAACACCAAAACUGGGAGAAAAAUAUUCCUAGUGAUUUUCCAGGCAGAGAUCCGACUCAAAAGCCUCCUCUUCUUCCACUGGAUCCCCCUCUAAAUGCCCAAAGUAGAGAUGGAGAUAAACCCUGGCCUGGGGACAGAGAUGAAAAGCAUGAAAGAACUGCACCUGCAGGAAGUAGACCUCCGUAUUUCCAAGACAAGAACCAGCCAAAUCAAGAGCAGCAUUUCGCAAGUGAUAGAGUGCCAUUUAAGGGUUCCAGUGACAUGGCUUUAGAUCAGGGACCACAGAGAGAGAGCUUGGUGUCUGGGCCAAAGGAACCCCAGAGUAAUAGAGGUGAGCGACAAGAUCAGGAUUAUAGAGACAUUGAUUAUCGCACCAGCUCAGGGCGCAAAUAUGACUACAAUCUUGGGGAUCUUCAAGGACCUGAGAAAGAC
ensembl:lncRNA